rnacentral:misc_RNA from 1 species
AAAGAUUGCAGAUUUUGGACUUGCUCAAAUUUUUACGGAUCAUAAUACUCAUAUCUCCAUGUCACAAGUGGGAACUGAAAUUUAUAUGGAUCCCGAAUGUUCUGGAAAAGUCACUGAUAAAGUAGAUGUUUAUUCUUUUGGCGUUGUUCUCCUAGAAUUGAUCACAGGAAGAAAACCCAAAUAUCAAGGGAACAUCGUUACAUGGGGGUUUUUUCAUCAACUAGAUUGAUUGUCUUUGGGUGGGUGUACUGCGUAAGACCUUCUGGUCCUAAGUCCCUCCAAGUUAGUUUUUCCCUGUACUCCUUGACUUUCUCUUUUAAUUCUAAUAAAUUCCUGCUUAUGGAAAAAAAAAGGAGAUUUUCGGUUCUCGUUAUUUGAAUUUAGUUUAUUUUAGGUUUAAAUCAUUUGGUCUCUUUUUUUAGUA